CUCUAUAAAAGGACCUCACAUUCACAACACAGUAACUUUUUACCAACUGCACACAAGUAUUGUUUACCAGAUAAUUUACUACAGAGGCGAUCUUCUCCAGACAGCCACAUUCUGCUAUAAUUUACAGUCUAUUACAGACAAUUCAGUCUACCACAGACCACAGUCUGCAUCAGACAGCACCAUGUAUUUAGGAAACAAAAGGGUUAGAUUUGUUAGUGCUGCUUCUCAGGACCGGCCAACAUCUCCCUCACACUUCCUUCGGUUGCGAAAUGCACUUGGUAAUGCGCACAAGAAGAUUGAAGGCCUGAAAGCCGAGAUAGACAGACUGUCGCAGCGUAGCGACAUUCCGAUGGGGUGUUGUUCCCGGGCGGGCUAAUCGGUGAGUGCAGACGCAGCGCUCGCGCCGGGGCUUUACGCUAAACAUACAAACACGGGCCUGUGGAGUUGCAGAAAGUGGAAAGCUGAUGUCAAACGGGUAAGUAUUGACACACAAAGACACUCGCGCCCUCAGGUAUGCAUGCAAAUACACAUAUCCACAAAAACACAUGUACACAGAUGAGGAGAGCUGGGUAACUGGGACAAAGGUGAAAGGUUCAAGGUUUGAAAAAUAGAGGAUGGAUGGGAAGAAGAUUUAGCAGGCGAUUCCAUAUUGGCGAGGGAAAAUUGCCCACACUUUGGCACCACUAUCCAAGUAUUUAAUACUUGGAUAGUGUGCCUUCAAACCAAUCCAUACUGUAUAUUUAUAAAUAUUUACAAGGACUUUUUGAACUGGCUGAAGAAAACCAUUCUAUCUGGUAAACCUGGAGUUUUUAGGCAUUGCAGGGUCCAAACCCGCAUGUUUGGGAGCUACUGUGUUUAUAGGCCAUUAGGUAAAGACUACAGGAGGAUGGGAAACCAAAUAAAAAUAGCCAAAAAGCAGAAGAUGAGGGUAGGGGGUACAGUGGGUCGAAGAGGUAACAGGCGACAGGACAAGGUAAAGAACUGAAAAGAAAUGAAAGAUACGGAUUGUCAGACUGAGAGGACGAGCAGACAGGGAGCCCGGAGAGAGGACGACAAGGUUGUCAAAGGAGGAGAGAAAGGAGGGCUCUUGAAGAAAACUACAGUGCGCGUCGGUAAGUCCUGUUGACAAGGAUAGGAAAAGCUCUCUCGCACACAGAGGUCUCUUUGUUCCUUUGUGAGUCAUUCUAGAAAGGCCACAGCUGUAAACAGUCGAGAUCAGUCCAUUAGGCCCUGAGGUGCCGGAGCUCCAGCGUUGACUGUGUAUCCGGAAAGAAACGGCAAGCUUGAGUCAUCAAUAAACAGAACAGUCAGA